AGCACGUGUGCGACGGACGCGACCACUGCCUCGACGGCGGCGGCGGCGGCGCCGGCUCCGACGAGGACCCGCACCUCUGCAGCACGUUCGAGACGUCGUUCGGUCGCGGCGCGCUGGCUGCCACCGGUGAAGUGGCGGAUGGUAGCGGACGGUGCGCGCGCGGCGAGUGGCUGUGUCGCAACGGAGCGUGCGUGUCGCGCGACAGACUGUGCGACGGCGGCGACGACUGCGGCGACUACAGCGACGAGUGGCGCUGCAACAUCAACGAGUGCUUGAUCCGCAACGGCGAGUGCGCGCAUAACUGCACGGAGCUGGCGGUGGGCGCGGCGUGCUGGUGCCGGCGCG